AGCCUGCCUUCGUCCUGUCCCCCCCUCCGCCGGGGGCACUCCCCCCAGGUGGUCCAGACGGAGCUCCCGGGCAGGGAGCCGCCAGGGCCUGCAGAGUCGCGACGACUCUGCCCCCACCCCACACACUGCUGUUCGGUGCGCUGACCUCCUGGAGAAGUUACUCCGACCCGCUGGAAACAAAGUUUGCCUCUCCCUUUCCUCUCCUCUCCUUCCGGCUGUUGCCCAGGGCCGCUCUUGGAAGAGGGGAAGGGAGGUGCUGGUGUGACUGCAAAGGCCCAGCUAAGCUUUCUGACUGCCACACCCAGGGGCUGGCCUCCACCCCACCAGGGCAGAGUCCAUGAAAGAACCGCUAGUGAGAGGGGUCUGUGUUGAACUGCGGUAGAGGAUCUCCACGCAGGACCCACACCUCAGAUUUUGAUUUUCGUGGAUUUGGGAUCCAAGGCCUCCCGGCUUCUGAACCAGGAAACCCUCUCGCCAGGAUCUCCACCAGGGAUGGAGAUCCCCGGGAUGGACACCAUGCAAAACCCACUCUCGGUGGAGUUUCCUGGAAACAACUGCUCACUAGAGUUAAGACUCUCAAAAAAAAAAAAAAGAUAAAGCGAUU